rnacentral:misc_RNA from 1 species
GAUGAAGAACGUAGCGAAAUGCGAUAAGUAAUGCGAAUUGCAGAAUUCCGUGAGUCAUCGAAUCUUUGAACGCACAUUGCGCCCGCCAGUAUUCUGGCGGGCAUGCCUGUCCGAGCGUCAUUUCAACCCUCGAACCCCUCCGGGGGGUCGGCGUUGGGGAUCGGCACUUACCUGCCGGCCCCGAAAUACAGUGGCGGUCUCGCCGCAGCCUCUCCUGCGCAGUAGUUUGCACACUCGCACCGGGAGCGCGGCGCGUCCACGGCCGUAAAACAACCCAAACUUCUGAAAUGUUGACCUCGGAUCAGGUAGGAAUACCCGCUGAACUUAAGCAUAUCAAUAAGCGGAGGA